AAUCCCUUCAUGUUUAACGCUAACAAGCCACCAAUCCAUUGACCGCUAAUCCUGCCCGCCUUCGUGAAAAAAGAAGCAAACUGCCUCGUUGCACGUCCCGCAACACGACCUUCGCCCGCUCCUCUCUUGUGCGUGGUUCCAGUCGCCCUCUCUUCCUCCACGUUUCUCUCGCGGCACAACCUCCGCUGCAAAUCCUCUACUCCUCCGUCGCUGCCCCGAUCCCCCACUCCGCCGUCGUCUGCCGCCGCUCCGAUCCUCCACGCCGCCGUCGUUCCAAUCGCCCGCCGCCGGCGCUCUUCGAUCCUCCAGUUCAACGCCGGCCGCCUAUACGGUGAGUCCACCGAAGCCGGCGGAAGCUGCACGCCCCGCGCCUGCCUACCUGGGGUUGCGACGGCCGCAUCCGUCGGACGAAGCCGCGGCCAUAGCCGUCGGAGGAAGCCGCCGCCACUGAGCCCUGCCGACCAGGGGUUGCGCCGGCCGCCCGCCGAUAUUCUGCUCGGCAGGACCCCGCACGCCCCCGACGACGGCCGGGACUGCCAACGCAGACGCCUUACUCCCUGGGGUUGCUGGCUGCUGUCGAUGCCAUCUGCGGAAUUCUAGGAGACUGUGGACCUGUGGUUAUCGUAUAUUGGUUCGGAGAUUCUUCACCUGGCAAUUUCCAGUGACUAAAGGGACAGGUUUUUUAAGGGCUGAAGCACUUUAUUCAGUCAAAAAUGUUCGAUGGAAUCACAAUAAAAUCUGGUCUAACUGACAGCCAAACAUGCCGUCCAAAAACUAAAGUAGUAGUAGCUCUAGCUAACACAUGUGCUUCAACAUUCAGACUUCGAUUCUCAUGAGUAAUUUGCACCGAUGCAAAACCUGCGCACUUCAAAUUGAUCUCCCUGCUGAUGGCUUCAAAUGGUCCUUUGUAUAUUCCCUUGACUUACUUCACAGUGGAUGCACAGUCUGUUGCAAUGACUAACGGGCCAUGUUAGUUUCUGCAAUAGCUCAUCUCUUAGUUCUGUAAUUUCUUGGAUUUGAUGGCCCUAAAAGUAUGUGUAUUAGAAUUGAAGAUGCAUGAAUCAUCCCUUGAGAAUGGAGAUGAAUGAGGAAGUACUGAGACAGUGAGAGAUGAAAUUCAAACCUGGUAAGGCAGCACAGAUCAUUAUCUAUUUUAUUCAUAAAAUUGUACAUAUCCGUUUCUGGUCUUUUUUGGUUCUGAUUGGUUGGAAAUGAUCCUGGUCCAAGAAAGAUGUCACAAAGUGGUAUACCAAAACAAAAGCUAAUGCUUCGAUUCAGAUUAAUGUAAUUUAGAACGUAUUACAAAUUAGGUACAAACUAUUGACUUCAGACUAUACCUUUUUAGCCUUGAAUUAUUGAGUUUGUCUUUUUUAAUUAUUUUGUCCCUUUACAUACAUGGUUCCGUUACCAAAAUCAGGGAGGAGUACAACUGGUGGUGGCUUCGGACAGUGUCAGUUGUUGUUUUGACGGGCUCUGCCUUCAGGUCCUCUACCGGCGAUGUCCUGCGCCAUCAGGAACCCCUCAUCCGCUCAUCGCCAUUGUUGGGUUUGUUUAGCUUUUUGCAUGAUAAUUGUUUUAUUACUUAUACAUGGAGUAUUAGGUUGUGUUUUCUGCAAAGAUGUUGUACAUGUGGUUCAUUCCGCUUUUAUCUUAAUGAUUAAUCGACUAUUGAGGAGUUGCACAUAUCUUUAUAAAACAUAAUUUUUGGAUUACGUUAAUGAUUCAGAUGUUCUACCUUGAUCUAUUAUGUGCAUCAAACGUUUACAAGCACCGUCUCCACUACUUCCACCUAUCCCUUUUGUUACUUUCUCCCAGUUAGGUUGAUCCCCAAUUCUCUAUUUCGGUUAUCCCCUCAUUAUUCUUGGGCAACUGUUAAAUUAGUGGUUGUGCUUUGCUCUAAAUUCUUUUAAGGUUACAGAAUGUAGGUUCAUUUAGUCGGCGAGGUAGAUUCAUAAAAAAGUAUCUAAUCCAUUCAUUUAUAUCAUUUCUUAGAAAAUUGUCCUAGCCAACUUGAAUUUCAACCAAACAUUUAGAUAUUGCAGUGCAGUGUUGUCUCCUGAGGUACAUCAUCAUCUAGCAUAGUUCCUUUCCUUAAUAUCUCUGUGUGGUUCAUUACUCCAUUUUCCUACCAAAAGAUCUUGUAGUCAUGGAUAUAUUAUGCUUUUCGCAGCCACCAAAAGUGGAAAGAACAGCAAGAAUUUUUUGUGACCAUGAGUGCUUCCUGCCAUGGUGUGGAAUCUUAUUGUUGUAUUUUCUAUAAAACUCUCUCCCAUAGGACUUGAGAAAUAGACUCCCACAUAACCUUCGGCACCCUCUCCACUGCAAUUCAGCCAUGACCAAUCAGUUCGCAUCCUGCAUCGCUCUGCAGUAGGAGAGUCCAUAAGAGAAACAAGAGGAGAAGCUACUCGGUAUCCCUACAGAUUUUGUAGCUCGUCUUAGAAAAGAAGAUAACAUUAGGGAGCAGCAAAACUGAAAGCGUAUUGUGAUUUUUAGGAGACUUUCUCAUCGGCUACACAUUUUUUGUCUUCAUGUGUUGUUUGUUUUCUCUCAUAAGUUAAAUAGUUUAUUGGUGUUUUUUUUAUUAUGAAGUGGGUACGACAGAGUAGCCAAGUAGUUAAUCAUUUUAUCUUGUCUUGGACGAAAUAUAUGUACUAUGCUAAUGGUUUAUAUGAUGACCCAGUCCCAAACUUGUAUUUAAAUUCAACAUGGUUUGUUACAUACUAUAUUGUCUGAAAAGGUGUCAGACUAGCUUGAAGAAUACGAGAGACAAAGAAUUGGCUUUGUUUUGUUAAGCUAGAUCCCUUACAUGUGUAAUGUUUAUGUCAUCUCAUGCCAUGAGAGUCACUGUUUGUUCAACUAGGUGAUACUGUUGCCCAAAAUGGCUCGACCAACAUCAUGGGUCAGUGUGUCACUUAGUUUGCCAAAGUGCAGAGAGUUCGCACCUUAAAAAACAUCGUGUGGCACAUGUACAAUUUGCAACUUGAAAUCAAUAAUACUACCAGCGUCUUAGGUUGCUGCAUGAUCAUGAUUGUUUUCUUAGUAUGUUGUUGCCCUUUCAAAUAACAUCUUUCUCAUCUCAAUAUUUACUUAGCUCUGUAAAUGAAUUGUUGUUAACAGAAGCAAAAAUAGAAACUUAAAUAGCUUAGUGCAAAUGUGCUCACAGAAGAAGAAUGUCAACCAGUAUUUUGAUACCUUAUCAUCAGUCUUCUGUCUACUUGCCAAUCCAUUCAUGUCAUAUACUCAUUUAGGAAGGCAAUUAUUUACCAUAAUUUCAAUGUUUUGCAUCUUGAUUUAUUUGCAUAAUAUUAUCUACCAUCUAUUGGAAAAUUUGACGGGCAUGGAUAAUGUGAAAGGCAUUGUUGCCCUGUUCUUGGGCUCGGUUCCGCCCUCAUCGAUCUGAAAGUGUUCGGGUUAGUCUUUUCGAUGCCCCACAAAUGUUCAACGAAUUGCUUCUGAGGGGGGCGGCUGUCAUUUGUGUUACAGGGAUGGAAUGGGCGCAUCGGUAGCGAGAUACUGCAGCAAAUGUUCAAUGAAUUUCUCUUGUUUUUCUCUUAUUUUUCCUUCUGGGCGUGAUUGUGUUGUUUGCCCCGGCGUGGAACUCAUUCUUGUAUCGGGUGGUUGCUAUAUUAAUGUAGUGGGGCGAAAGCCUAUUUCGAGGAAUGGUCUACAAUUUCUUUUGUCUUUUUCUUGGAACUUCA